rnacentral:rRNA from 1 species
GACGAACCGUCCAAACGUUGUUCGGAAUCACUGGGAUUAAAGGGCGCGUAGGCGGACUGCCAAGUCCGGGGUGAAAUCUUUCGGCUUAACCGGAAAAGGGCCUUGGAAACUGGCGGUCUCGAGGGAGGUAGGGGCCUGUGGAACUUCGGGUGGAGCGGUGAAAUGCGUUGAUAUCCGAAGGAACGCCGGUGGCGAAAGCGACGGGCUGGAUCUCUUCUGACGCUGAGGCGCGAAAGCCAGGGGAGCAAACGGG